GGCAGCAGCCGCGGUAACACCGGCGGCCCGAGUGGUGAUCGUGAUUAUUGGGUCUAAAGGGUCCGUAGCCGGUUUGGUCAGUCCUCCGGGAAAUCUGAUAGCUCAACGUAUUAGGCUUUCGGGGGAUACUGCCAGACUUGGAACCGGGAGAGGUAAGAGGUACUACAGGGGUAGGAGUGAAAUCUUGUAAUCCCUGUGGGACCACCUGUGGCGAAGGCGUCUUACCAGAACGGGUUCGAUGGUGAGGGACGAAAGCUGGGGGCACGAACCGGAUUAGAUACCCGGGUAGUCCCAGCCGUAAACGAUGCUCGCUAGGUGUCAGGCAUGGCGCGACCGUGUCUGGUGCCGCAGGGAAGCCGUGAAGCGAGCCACCUGGGAAGUACGGCCGCAAGGCUGAAACUUAAAGGAAUUGGCGGGGGAGCACAACAACGGGUGGAGCCCUGCGGUUUAAUUGGACUCAACGCCGGACAACUCACCGGGGGCGACAGCAAUAUGUAGGCCAAGCUGAAGACUUUGCCUGAAUCGCUGAGGAGUGGUGCAUGG
rnacentral:rRNA from 1 species